GUAAAACCAGGCUGCAGACGACCUGAAAGGAGGGUGAGCAGAGGCAGCCGGCAGUCAGAGGACUUCUAAAACAGCGUAAACUGGAGUCUCUUGGAAGGAAGAGCUAAGCAGGAAUACCGUAACGGGAGGUGAUGCAGAAACCAAAGGCAUUCCAGCAGAGAGCAUUGAGCCCUGGUGUGAAGAGAACGGCUUGGAAUCCUGGCUCUGUCAAUAGGAUAGUCAAGAAACGGAAGUGGGAUGAUCAUAAUUUCAAGAUCUGCCCAGGACACUGUGCGCUCAAGGUAACCAGAGCAUCUCAGUCGGA